UUAUGACUGAUUUAUGUAGCUUAAACACAAACAUGACGUUUUCUGAAGAACAAUAUGGAAAUACAUUUCUGUAAACAUAUUCCACAUGUUUUACAACAGCAGCUGACUUAUAACCUUACCCUUGCUGGGAGGAUGUUAGUGAGAGAGCUGGCAGUGUUAAACACACAGAUGUUCAUGAUGGAUCAGCCUGUUCUCAUCUGUUUCACUCUUGUUGGGAGGAUGGUGUGGGAGGAACUGUCUUCUCAAACUGAACAGCCAAAUAGUGAAGACUCUGGUUUUCCCUAUGAGAAGAUGCAGCUGGUUGGGAACUGGGGUUCAUUUCAUUUCCAUACCUGGAUAAUCCGUUAUGGACGAGUGCAGCAAAAUGAAGAGGACAUGCAUCACCUGUGCAUUGUGAGGGGAGUGGAGAAACAGCUGUGGUGGAGCAGAGUCAUUCAGGAAAAAAUCCUGGACCCAUGGGUGAGAGAUUCUCAACUGAUCUUUCAUCUCAAAUGCACCUGA
ensembl:lncRNA